rnacentral:rRNA from 1 species
UACGUAGGGGGCAAGCGUUGUCCGGAUUUAUUGGGCGUAAAGAGCGUGUAGGCGGCCGUACAGGUCAGCUGUGAAAACUCGAGGCUCAACCUCGAGACGUCGGUUGAAACCGUACGGCUAGAGUCCGGAAGAGGAGAGUGGAAUUCCCGGUGUAGCGGUGAAAUGCGCAGAUAUCAUUUGGAACGCCAAUGGUGAAAACAGGUAGCUGGGAGUGAUGCUGACGCUGGAGACACGAAAGCCAGGGGAGCAAACGGG